UCAAAAUAGUCAAUCAUUCUUAGCAGAUUUCAUAACAUGUUGUAGCAGACCAUAGCAUGAACUUUGACCAACAUUCGUUCCAUGUUGCAUUCCUUGCUGCAUUCCAGGUUGCAGUCCAUACAUUGGGUAUAUGGGUUGUAGGGGCAUCGGUUGAAUCAUCGGAUGUACGAUAAGCAUCAUAGGAUACAGUUGUUGAUUCAUAAUUCUGCUUGAGCUCUGUAAUUCCAUAUGUGCAGGUGUCGUAACGGUAGCAGCGCGGUAUCUCGGCGGAUACAAAGUUUUGUUUUGCACACUUCUUUGAACAUUGCAAACUUCUUUUCUUUUCCUUUUCUGAAAAAUCAACAUAAUUGCUUAUAUAAUUACGCAAUAUUUAAACCAAAACCAAAUCAGCAAUUUGGCUU
rnacentral:lncRNA from 1 species